AUUGCCGCAGACUGCUGUGUUAGCAAGGAGAGAGGCUCCGUGGGCGUGGGACCCUCCCAGCCAGGUGUGGGAUACAAUCUCCGGUGUGCCGGUGUUACAGCGCAGUAUUGGGGUGGGAGUUACCCGAUUUUCCAGGUGUUGUGUGUCUCAGUUCCCCUGGCUAGGAAAAGGGACUCCCUUCCCCCUCGCGCUUCCCAGGUGAGGCGAUGCCUCGCCCUGCUUCAGCUCUCGCUGGUCGGGCUGCAGCAGCUGACCAGCACCGAUUGUCCGGCACUCCCGAGUGAGAUGACCCCAGUACCUCAGUUGAAAAUGCAGAAAUCGCCGGUCUUCUGUGUCGCUCGCGCUGGGAGAUGGAGACUAAAGCUGUUCCUAUUCGGCCAUCUUGCUCCCGUUAUCGACUUGUGCAUCAUGAAUGCAGAGUUAUCAAGGACUGAAGAACCCUCAGAAAAGGCUGUGGAAGAGUCUCCUUGCUGUUGCACUUCCCCUGAUGCUUCUGACCCCAACCCUGGACAUGGUCACCAUGGCUCAUAGACAUGAGUCACUGAGUGUAUAGGUGUGGAUCUGAGGGAUUUGGGGUUGGGUUCCCAGCUUGUUUAUAGAUUUGACUUCGUAAUGGUGAUUUGUGUUUAUUUCAGUGCUUGAGUCAGGAGGUUUGCCUGACAUCCUGAAGACCAAGGUCUUCUCUGUGGGGAACAGUCUAGCACUUGUGACAGCUCUGAGAGUGUUUUUAAGAACAGGUUGAUGCGUAUGCUCUGUAUUAAUUUUUUUAUAGAUUUGAGGGUGGGUAGUCAGCCAUGCUCUGUUCAUCUUUGGAUCUUUUGCUGAAUUCUUAGUUAAGUUUGUAAUCUACAUUAAUGGCAACAGAAGGGUAAACUGACUAGGAGGGUUAUUACAUACUGGUUUGUGUUGCCAAGGGAGGCAGCACAAUCCAUUUUCUGGAUGGUUUUGGCACGAUUCUUCCUAGCACCUCAGAGAUGGGCACUGUGAUGUUAUAUACACUCUUGUGCCUGGUUAUUAAUCUGGAUGUUUUGGAUGAACAUAAAGUAAAACAUGCAGGGAACCGCUAAUGCAUUGUAAGGUGG
rnacentral:lncRNA from 1 species